rnacentral:lncRNA from 1 species
ACUGCUUCACAGUGCUGAGAGUAUGAGGAUCUUUCCUGGAGGGAAAUGGUAAGCAUCAUUCCUUCAGGAGGAGGGAACAGUGAUUGCGAGCAAGCAUUAGCUGGGGCCAGGUACGUGCAAGCUGGAAGCAUAUGAGCACAUCUUUCAGGGACAGAUUCAACCGUCAAUGGGCACAUGGUAGGAGAGGGGUUCCGCAGAAAGCUUUGAGUGCCAGACGGCAAGAACUGCCCCUGGGCUGAGGGAAAUCAAGAGUGGGGGGCAUUUUCCAGCUUACUGUGAAUUGUGGAGAAAUGCUGAGAAAGUUACUAACACAAAGGAUCCCAGUUUGACCCCAAGGAGAUACUUUCCGUACAUUGACAAAGAUUUUGGAGCCUACUAUUGAAAUAGAUGUGAGUGAGUACCUUAGGUAAUAUCACAAUAAAGAACCAUUUAGGAGCUUCUCUGAAAUAUGACAGAUAAAUCUCAGUGACUGAUUCCUCCAUAACUGCCCUGCUGUGAGCACUCACAUUCACUAGUUUGUGUCACCAUCUGGUAUCACCAACAUUGGAGUGCGAGUCUCUUUUCAAGUUCAAGUUUCUGCCUCACUCCUGGUCAUUCGUGACCUGCAGAGCUUUACACAAACAGACCACUCACUGCUCCAUGUGGGAACUUGGUGGGGUUGUAAUUCUUAGAUUGUGCUCUAAAACUGUAGAUUAUUCAAUGUGACUCUCAAAAUUAAGUGUCUCUGUGUUAUUCUGUUUGUAGGUGGUAUAAUGAUAGUAACUUUGUUCUCAUUAACAAGGUCACUAACAUAAUCAGAAACACAGCAAGAAUUUUGCCUUUCUUCUGAAAUAAUUUUGAUUUCUUUCUCUUUGCUUUCCUGCUGUCAUCUAAGUGAUUGCACAAUAUUCCAAAUGGAGAAUUAAUGGGAGUAUAAUAUCUAGGAUAGUGUUUUAUAAAUGUUCAUUAUACAAAAUAUGAAUUAUACUAGUAAUUUGUUUCCAUAUUAUCUGACUUCUAGAUAGUACAGAGAGAAUUCUUUUUGUCAUUACUGUUUCAUCCAGAAACAGGAAUAUUUUUUCUCUCCUUUGAAGUAAUUUUGGACUUUCUUGCAGUUGGUCGCACUGCUGUUGCUAAGUAAUUAUACAUUUGCUCAAAUUUUGCUCUAAUUGAAGCUCAAUAGAAGAAUAAUUUCUACAAUAGUGCUUCAUAAAUGGAUACCCUUUGGAAGUAAAUUUGGUGAUGCUCUAGAACUUUCUACCUGGAGGCUUCUUGAUACAGCCUGCAACUAAACAGAUUGCCCAUGUAGGCUGGGCCUGAUCCUUUGCACCCCGACAUGACCAAGAUGAGACCUGACUCCUGGACACAUCACUGAGUAUUGAUUUACCUGAAAUGUCCUUCAACAUCGAAUGUGUCUGAGUGAGCUAAUGGUGUCCAGGACAAGCCCAACACAGGUCUAGGCAAAUAUUUAACCUCCAGCAAAGAUCUGUUU